AGAUUGAACGCUAGCGGGAUGCUUUACACAUGCAAGUCGAACGGCAGCGCGGACUUCGGUCUGGCGGCGAGUGGCGAACGGGUGAGUAAUAUAUCGGAACGUGCCCAGUAGCGGGGGAUAACUACGCGAAAGCGUGGCUAAUACCGCAUACGCCCUACGGGGGGAAGGGGGGAUUCUUCGGAACCUCUCACUAUUGGAGCGGCCGAUAUCAGAUUAGCUAGUUGGUGAGGUAAAGGCUCACCAAGGCCGCGAUCUGUAGCUGGUUUGAGAGGACGACCAGCCACACUGGGACUGAGACACGGCCCAGACU
rnacentral:rRNA from 1 species